rnacentral:rRNA from 1 species
AUUGAACGCUGGCGGCAGGCCUAACACAUGCAAGUCGAACGAGUGGCGGACGGGUGAGUAAUGCCUGGGAACCUAGCUUAUGGAGGGGGAUAACUACUGGAAACUGUAGCUAAUACCGCGUACCAUCAGAUGAGCCCAAGUGGGAUUAGGUAGUUGGGGGGGUAAAGGCUCACCAAGCCGACGAUCCCUAGCUGGGCUGAGAGGAUGACCAGCCAAACUGGAACUGAGACACGGCCCCGACGCCGACGGGAGGCAGCAGUGGUGAAUAUGGCACAAGGGGGGCAACCCUGACGCAGCCAUGCCGCGUGAAUGAAGAAGGCCUUCGGGUUGUAAAGUUCUUUCGGUAGGGAGGCGUUACCUGCAGAAGAAGCACCGGCUAACUCCGUGCCAGCAGCCGCGGUAAUAC